GGCUGGGAUCGACCCAAACUGAUAACAAACUCGAAGUCACUUGAGCACGUUAAAGCUGAUCGAAAAAAAAACUAGCCAAAAUUUGAUAUAUCUAAAGAAGAAUAGUAUUGACUUCAUAAUUCUCUCUUGUUUCCUUUUAUUUAUUUGAUUUUUGCAGCGAACGAUGAAGAACAAUUUUAAUAAUAAUUUAACAAUAAAAAAAAAUUAUAAGUAAGAAAAUGCUAAAAUUCCAUUUUUAAAAUGUUAAGGAAUGAAAUGAAAUCACAGCUGACAAAUAUCAUAGAAACUCAUCCGGACUGGGCUUAUUCAUUUUCCGCAAAAGGAAGCAACUCCAGGAAUGCUCAUAGAAUUCUGUGGGAAAACAAACAGCAAAACUCAAUGCAAAUGGACCUCCGUCAAAAAGUGCCGCAGAGUGGAAAAAAGUUUGGGCAGCCUAGAAGAAUAACGCGAAACAAAAAGUUAAUCACCCUUAUCACAGGCCCCGACGUAAAAGAUUCGUACUACGAAUACCGAAAAGAAGGUAUCAUAUCUCCGUUCACUAGCCCCGAAUGAAUAGUCCAAAAAGAGUAAUUACAAACAAAAUACAGUACACAGUGUAAAGGAUGCCAGCAGAUGGAGGAGGGUAGGAAGGCGUAUAUUAAAAGGAAACUAGUAGAAAAUAAAAAAGAAAUCAAGGCUGCAGGUGGUGGAAUGAACAGAACGCAUUCUUUUUUAGAUCUUGAAGAAAGUGUUAUCAAGUUAACUGGUCUUGAAACAUCAACAAGUGGAAUUAAAAGGCUGCCUUUUGCGGGAACAAAUGAAACUUCAAAAGGAAUUUUGCAAAGUUUCUUCAUUUAUUGCAAAAAUAGCGAUUGCAAAUGAAUCCAUUUUAAAAAUACACAAACAGCAAGAUCCAAGAUUAAAUUUCAAUUUUGAUUUUCACAUUUUGACGUUUACCAGCUGAUUCUGAAAAUCCGAACAAAUGGUUUCUGUGUGGCAAUGCUUUUUCACAUUUCGUUCGGGGCCUAUGAUAUGAAUUUGUUCUUAUUCGUUGCGGAACGAAACGUUCGGAACUUUGCUACGAGGGAGCUUGUGAUAGGGUUGAAUAUCUAUGAUAAUUUGGAUUUGGACAAGGAGCCAGAUGAGAAGAGGUAAAAACUUCUUUGAUCGUCGGGAAAACUUAAACACUUAGCAGCAUUUUGAGCGAUGUCAAUAUGUGAUCACUCCACAAGAUAUGGUUUGUAAUACACAUAAAACUGAAAGCUGUUCAGUCAGUCUCCUCAUCCUCAAUGGAAGUACCACCCAUGGAUAGUGGAAUUGUUGACCAUUGAGCUUUCAAAGCAUCAAAUACGGUUUUUGAUUACUCAUUGGACAAUGCUGUCUAGAUCAGAAUUCAAUCAGCUUAUCAUACGCUGCCAUUGGUAAUCCACAUCUGAAGUUGAGGAUGCUGGCAUUAGCAAAACAAUUCAUUAUGUUAGAAGUUUCACACAAAAGAUAAUUUUUAUAAAUAAGGAGGAGUGUCGAAGACAAAACGGAACCGUUUAUUUUGUGGAUAUCAGAUUUGAACCCGUCUAACACUACUUGAAUUAAACGGUAUGUGAGAUAUGUUCUUACUCAGCAAAGAAGAUUCAUCAAUACCAAAUGCAAUCAUUUUCAAUAAGAGAGCUUGAUUCCAAACUCUAUCAAUAUAUAAUAUCAAGUGCAAUAAUCUUACUUUCUCCGAAACGGUGCAAGGAUUUGUUUCACUGUCCGAUGGGACAAACCAUGAGAUCAACAGUGGACCUAUGGCUACUUUCGUUCUUCAAAAUAUUUCUUAAUCAGAAAAUUAUUCGGCGUUUCUAUAUGACCUUGGAAAGUAGGGAUGCAAGCGCAAUUAAACGAUAGUUGGAAGGGGAGGAGGAUUUGCCUUUUUUAGGGACAGGCGUCAACCUUUGGUUUCGAUGAAGAAGUUUAAUAUUUAAAAAAAAAAUUGUGGUGCUUUAAAAUGAUUCCUUUUUUAUUUUAGAAAUUGAAGAUCAAUUAAAUCAACUGACUGGUACCACAAACGGAUGGUACAAGAAGCUACCAACGUAAAAUCAAAGAAAAACAACAGCCAAAACGAAAACUUGCUCUCCAAAAAGCAAAUACAACUUAAUAAAAUGAUGGUGGGUUAAGGGACAGAUUAGAUCACAUUUAUUUAUAAUUUCCUCAGAUACUUAUUAUAUUAUUAUCUUAACGGAAACUUGGUUAACAGAAAAACAUUUAAGUACUGAAUACUAUUAUAAUGUAUUUAGAAAAGAUAGGUCUAAUUUUAUAACAGAUAUUGUAAGAAGUGGAGGAGUGUUGGUUGCAAUUCGUGCUUCACUGACAUGUAGUCAAAUUAUUUUGAAAUCAAACUCUUCAAACUUGAACAUUGAUAUUGAUCAACUUGUUUUAUGUGUUAAAAUAGGUGAAUCUAAAUUAUUUGUUUCAGCCAGAUAUAUUUCUCCAAAGAGUAAAUUAGAUUUAUGUAGCGUUUACUUUAAUGAUAGAUAAUCCUAAAAGUUCGCAACAUAUUUUAAUUGCAGGUGAUUUUUACCUUUGAAACAUUGAAUGGACGUUCAACGUGGAAAACAAAUGUUUAGUUCAUUUUAAUGUUUCAACUGAAUUAUAAUCUUUUGUUAUAGACUUUGUGGGUCAGUACAAUUUUAGGAUUGACUAAGUUUUUGUGUAAGUUAGUUAAUUAGGAUUGACAUAGUUUUUGUGGAUAGCGUGUUUUAUUGAUAACUCCAUCCAUCAUGUUGCAAUUCAUGGAAACAUUUGUUUUAUCACUUUUUAAAGAAAGAAAUGAAGAUCUUUUAAUAAUUAUGUUUAUAGCUUUCGUAAAGCUGACUAUGAUGCAAUGGGUAAUUAUUUCUUAUCUUUAUCUUGGCAUAAUAUUCUUAGUUCAUCGGGCUUACUUAAUAUUUGUUCUGCUUUUAAAAGCAUUUUAAAAGAUGAAAUUGAUAUCUUUGUACAUAAAAGAAAAUUCAAAUUUAAUUCCAGUCCUGCCUUGUAUAACCAGAGGCUAAAUAAUCUUGAAAAUAAAAAAAAGAAUCGUAUAAAAUAAUAUGGAACUGCGAUUUAAUUACUUUAAUUGCCAACGUAAGUUCGAAAUCAACUGGCAUACCACCACUGGUGAGAUUCCAAAAAUAUGCAACUUAUUCGCUGAUUAUUUUCAAUCUGUGUAUUCAUUAGAUGCUCCUUCCAUCCAGGAGAUGCAUUUCCUAAGUCGACAUCGGCUCCGUUAACCUUAGUAGUUAGGAAAUCGAAGAGGCUCUAUCUAGUUUAGAUCCUAAGAAAGGUGAAGGAUCCGAUGGAAUUCUUGCUAGACUGUUAAAAAAUUGAGCACUUGCGUUAGCUGAACCACUUUCGAUAACAUUUAAUCUUUCACUUGCCAUUUUUGUCUUCAAAUUUUAAAUCGGGGUCGAGGCAGAAAAUCACUAAUUUAUAAACCAAUAUGUUAACUUUCUGCAUUACCAAAAUUAUUCGAGAAAUUUGUUUGUAAAAAACUUUCAGAUUUGUUUCGUAGUUAUAUAUCAGUUUCUCAACAUAGUUUUAUGUCAGGCAGGUCAAGCGCGACAUAGUAUCAAAUAUGAAAAAGAUGUGCCAAACUUAUAUUAUUUUCACAGAAUUUGCGAAAGCAUUCGAUAGAAUAAAUCAUAAUAUACUACUCCAUAAAUUAUCUUCCUUAGGUAUUCACUCUUCUUUAUUGAAGUGGCUAAAAUCAUAUUUAUCAUGUAGAAUCCAAAAAGUUAAAAUUGAUCGCUCGUUUCCAUACAACAUCACUGCUUCAAUAGGGGUUCCAUAAGGAAGCCAUUACUUUUGCUGAUGUUUUUAAACGACAUUCCCAAUAUUUUCAAUGAUUCAAGUCCUCUCCUUUCUGCUUAUGAAAGCUGUAGUAAGAUUGGAUGACUGGUGUAAAAGUCAAGUAUUGUCGUGCUUCAGGAAUUACGACCCAAUUUUGUUUGAUUAUAGUAUCAAUCACAUGGAGCUAGAAAGAGUGACAAAAAAGAAAGACCUAGGAGUUAUCUUAGAUACCAACUUGUCAUUUUUACCUCACUAUGACUAUGGUAAAUAAAGCCAAUCAAAUGCUUGGAUUUAUCAAACGAAAUACUAGAGAAUUCUUAGAUCCCUAUACCAUAAACUCAUUAUGUAAUUUUUUAGUAAAGUCGAUUCUGGAGUAUUGCAGCGUAUUCUAGAAUCCUUAUUAUAAUAAUUCGAGUGAUAGAAUCGAGUGAUAGAAUCGAGUGAUUUCAAAAGAAUUUCACUAGGGCCUUCUUCAUGCUAAAAUGAGGAUUACAAAAUCGGCCUAUAAUAUUCGGUGUUUGCUCUUUAAAAUAAAAUCCCUCCAAGAUCGCAGAGUUUACUUUUCAGCGAUGUUUAUUAGAGCCAUCAUAACUUAUCACAUUAAUUGCCCUCACCUACUAUCAUUACUAUCUGAAAGGAAAUGCUCCAUCCAAAACAACAUGUUGUCGAUUUUAAAUUUAUGAAAAGUUUUGUAAUAUUUGUA